UGAUAGCAAAGAAGCGCGAGGUUGCUGCCGAUAGGGCAGGUUUUCCGUGGAGCGAAUGUCAAGUCAAGAAACUGGCGACAA
rfam:Clostridiales bacterium 41_21_two_genomes Ley3_66761_scaffold_1164, whole genome shotgun sequence.